rnacentral:rRNA from 1 species
GCUUAGAAGCAGCCACUCAUUAAAAGAGUGCGUAAUAGCUCACUGGUCGAGUGACUCUGCGCGGAAAAUAUAACGGGGCUAAGCAUGAAACCGAAGCUUGGGCUUGUCGUAAGACAGGGGUAGGGGAGCGUCGAGUAUGGGGUGAAGUCAGAGCGGAAGCACUGGUGGACUGUACUCGAGUGAGAAUGCCGGAAUGAGUAGCGAGAAUUAUGUGGGAAUCAUAAUGGCCGAAAAUCUAAGGUUUCUUGGGGAAGGUUCGUCCGCCCAAGGUAAGUCGGGAGCUAAGCUCAGGCCGAGAGGCGUAGGCGAUGCACAUACGGUAGAAAUUCCGUAACCACCGAAACUUAAACAGAGGGACACUUCAGGAUAGCGGAACCCGGGCGUUGGUUGACCCGGGCGAAAGGGACCGAAAUAUAGUAGGGAAGUCCGCGAUGCUCGGAGGCGAGAAAAGCUCAUGUGUAUACUAAGGUGCCCGUACCGCAAACCGACACAGGUAGAUGAGGAGAGAAUCCUAAGGCCAACGGGAGAAGGGUUGUUAAGGAACUCGGCAAAUUGACCCCGUAACUUCGGGAGAAGGGGUGCUCCAGAGAUGGAGCCGCAGAGAAUCGGCCCAAGCAACUGUUUACCAAAAACACAGGUUUGUGCUAAAUCGAAAGAUGACGUAUACGAGCUGACGCCUGCCCGGUGCUGGAAGGUUAAGAGGAGAUGUGCAAGCAUUGAAUCGAAGCCCCAGUGAACGGCGGCCGUAACUAUAACGGUCCUAAGGUAGCGAAAUUCCUUGUCAGGUAAGUUCUGACCCGCACGAAAGGCGUAACGAUUUGGGCGCUGUCUCAGCUGUAGACUCGGUGAAGUCUUAGUACCUGUGAAGAUGCAGGUUACCCGCGACUAGACGGAAAGACCCCAUGGAGCUUCACUGCAGGUUGAUAUUGGGAUUUGAUGCAGCAUGUACAGGAUAGGUAGGAGGCAAAGAGAUGGAUACGCCAGUAUUCAAGGAGCCGCUGUUGGGAUACUACCCCUGUUGUAUUGGAUUUCUAACCGGACGACGUAGAGCCGUUGACGGGACAGUGUCAGUCGGGCAGUUUGACUGGGGCGGUCGCCUCCCAAAGAGUAACGGAGGCGCCCAAAGAUACCCUCAGCUUGGAUGGAAACCAAGCGCAGAGUGCAAAGGCAAAAGGGUGUUUGACUGCGAGACCCACAAGUCGAGCAGGGACGAAAGUCGGGCUUAGUGAUCCGGCGGUGCUGAAUGGAAAGGCCGUCGCUCAACGGAUAAAAGCUACCCUGG